rnacentral:tRNA from 1 species
GGCGGAUUAGCCAAGUUCGAUCGU